ensembl:lncRNA
CACCUUGCGUCCUAAAGGCGCAGCGCAGGGGCUGCGCCGGCCGCGGUUCCCCUGGCACCCGGGAGGGGGCGGCACCGGGGAGACGGGAGCCUCGCCGCGUCCCUCAGCCCUUCACCUCGGCGACCCCAGCGGUCCUAGGUCCUGAUGCCACCCCAAAGUGGGCUUUCGGAGACCCCUUCCCUGGUUCAGGAAGGAAAAGGCCGAGGAGGACCGGGACCCAGAGCGCCUGACAGUGUCUCUUCCCGACUGCGCCUCCCGCGCACUGAGUCCUUCGGAUCAAAGCAGUGCGUUGGUGCCAGCGGUACAGGCGACGCGCAGAAAGGGCCGGGCUCUUGUUAUGCAGCCCAACUGGCCUUGAAUGCAAGAUCCUCCUGCCUCAGCCUUCUGAGUACUGGGAUUACGGGCAUAUGGCACUCGCCUGGCAUGCUAAACUAUUAUAUAAUGUAGAAAGCAAUGACCACUCCAUGCCCUGUUACUCAUCUGAUGUUAAGAUAUUUAGUUCUUUGUUUCUACUUAUAUAUAUGCAGUGACUGAGUUCGUCAUAAAGCAUUAUCAGCAGAUAUAAAAUAUUUUGAUGGCAUCUAAGAAUAUUAAAUUUAAAAACAUAUAAACAUUUCAAAUUUACCACUACUUUCAUGCUUCUGUGUGCCCCUCCGUGUGCAGGCGUGGGAAUGAAAUUAACACUUAGAUGUGGCUUCCUGGGUUGAAUUUUCACCCCUUCCUGUGGCACUAGAGAGGCUGGGCAAUAGAGGUGUGACAGACUCAAGGCCAGACAGG